rnacentral:rRNA from 1 species
AUUGAACGCUGGCGGCAGGCCUAACACAUGCAAGUCGAACGGUAACAGGAAGAAGCUUGCUUCUUUGCUGACGAGUGGCGGACGGGUGAGUAAUGUCUGGGAAACUGCCUGAUGGAGGGGGAUAACUACUGGAAACGGUAGCUAAUACCGCAUAACGUCGCAAGACCAAAAAGGGGGACCUUCGGGCCUCUUGCCAUCGGAUGUGCCCAGAUGGGAUUAGCUAGUAGGUGGGGUAACGGCUCACCUAGGCGACGAUCCCUAGCUGGUCUGAGAGGAUGACCAGCCACACUGGAACUGAGACACGGUCCAGACUCCUAGGGGAGGCAGCAGUGGGAAUAUUGCACAAUGGGCGCAAGCCUGAUGCAGCCAUGCCGCGUGUAUGAAGAAGGCCUUCGGGUUGUAAAGUACUUUCAGCGGGGAGGAAGGGAGUAAAGUUAAUACCUUUGCUCAUUGACGUUACCCGCAGAAGAAGCACCGGCUAACUCCGUG